CAGGGGCUGGGGUCAGGUUCCAGGAAGGCAGGGGUAGGCAGAGAGAAGGUGCUGGAAAUGGGUGAGGCUGAGCCGGGAUAACUGAGUGGGGGCAACUUCUUCGGGUAUAGGCCCAGGCAGGGACAGGGCUAAGGGUCCCUGGACCACUGGGGUGUAGGCAGGAGGGCAGGCUGGGCCGGGGCAUGUGCUGGAGGAGAGGGUUAGGGCCUGACGCCCCUCAUGUCCCCACAGGGCUUUGAGUACAAGAGAGUGGCCGGGCAGUGCUGUGGGGAGUGCGUGCAGACCGCCUGCCUCACGCCCAAUGGCCAGCCAGUCCAGCUGAACGAAACCUGGGUCAACAGCCGUGUGGACAACUGCACCGUGUACCUCUGUGAGGCUGAGAGUGGAGUCCAUUUGCUGACCCCACAGCCUGCAUCCUGCCCAGAUGUGUCCAGCUGCAGG
rnacentral:sRNA from 1 species